rnacentral:lncRNA from 1 species
GUUCUAUUUAAGAUGAAGUCAUCUCAGUUUUAACUUACAGGAUUCUUUGUGCAUUGGAUAGGAAAUUCCUGAAAUACAGUACAUGUUUAAUUGUAUGGUAACAUUUUAUUAAUCAUUGGCAACUAAUUGUCAUUCUUGUGAAAUAGUGUAGAUAAUGUCUAUUAGCUUAUAGCAGGGAUUACAAGAUAUUCUGAAAAUAUUUUUAUGGUACUUUAAGAAAUUUGAUUUGCUUUGAUAAAUGAAAGUCUUAUCUACAAGUAUGGUUUUUAUAUUUGUAUGAUUGAGGAUUAUGCAUUGCCUUUGUUCUGGCUAAUCCUUUUAUCACUAAAAAACAGAUUUGAACAUUAUGGGUUGGUUAUGUGUUAAUUUGGAGCUCAAGCUCAGAUGACAUUUUAAAUACUGUAGUGUUCUUGUAUGCCAAUUUUUUUUUCUCCCCAACAUUAGAAUUUUUAUUUACUGUUUCGAUAUUUGUUUUCUUAGAUUAGCUAGGAAAUUAUAAUUUGGCCACAGUCUACUUUUGACAAGUAAAUAAUUAC